rnacentral:lncRNA from 10 species
GUUCUUACCGUAGUUAGAAAUUCCUGGCCUAAAGAGCAUGGACAAACAAGGGCAGGGGUUUUAGUGACAGAAGUGAAUAGUUGGGAAUCAAAGUUCUCUUUUUAAAGCCCUGUAAGUUAUUAAAGAAUGCUUAUGUUUGCAGAUAUUUUGUUAGCAAUGAUGUGAUAAAGAGGAGAAGAUCCAAUUAGAUAUUAGAUUCAUUUGAUUAAAAAAGAUUAGUUUCCAAACUAUGAUAUAUAUAUACAAAAAGAAACGUACAAAUUAGAAAAAUGAAAGUCUCACUUACUUCAUUUCCCCAACUCCCAUUCCUUAGAGGCAACUUCCAUUAAAUCUUCUGGCUUCAAAAAUUUGCACUAAAAGAAUGCUCUUUAAAUGAACUUUUUUUUUUUCUCUGUUGAAUUGUUUUAAGAAAGAUACCUGUUUCUUAUAGUAAGAAGGCAUUGCAAAGUGCUAUAAUUGUUUUUCCUUUGUAAAUACACCUGCAAACAAUUGUUUUGUUAUAUUAAUAUUUCUCUGCUGAGUAACAUUUGGCCAAGACUUAACUACCACCAUUGGAUGGCAGCCUAAAUUGCGACCCCUGAGGAAGUGAAUUCAUCCUUGACAAUAGCCUCCAUAAAAUCCAUCUUACAAGUGAUAAUUUUGCACAGAUGUUUUAAAAUGAAAUGUUGAAUAAAUGGUUCCUCUUGUUUCUAGCAAGAAUGUGAGUGAGAGAGCGAGCAAGCAAGAGAAAUGACUAGUGACCAGUUGAGAAAGUCCUGUCUUCCACUGAGCCAUUUCACUCCUGCCCAUCUACUCUCAACAGCUCAAGAGCCGCUGAACCCUCGGAACUCUGUGAGGAUCAGAGGAGACAACAUGUGUGAAAACACCUUACCAAUACAAAGCUGUGCAGAUGUAAAGGAUGGUUAUUCCAGAAUGGAGGUUCUUAACUUGAGAAGGGAAGAGAGAGCUAUUAUUUAUUGAUCUCCUCAUACCUCAAAUGAUGCCAAAAAGAAGAGUGAAGAAUCAUCUGUUCCAUCUGACCUGCUCUCUCGACUCUCUGCGACAGAGUUUGGUUCCUUUCCCACAGUUGCUCCUCAGCACCCACUGAUCUUAUACAUGAACCUCCUCACCAAGGAACCACCUUUGAGCAUCCAUGCGGUGUUGGGUCAGGUGCCAAAGAACAAAGUGUCUCAGACUUGGGCCAAUGAUUCUGUUUCAUCCACGGUGAGUGAAUGCAGUGGAUAAGAACACCAGCUUUGAUGUCCGGAGACCUGGGUUCAAACUCUAUCUUUGACUUGUUCUAACCAUGUGACCCUAGACACUUAACUGAGCCUCAGUUCCUCAUCCAGAGAAUGAGAUUCAUGGUCACAUCUUCCUCCAUGGGAUUGUUUUGAGGAUUUAAGUAAGAUGUUGCUUGUUAAGCCCUUGGCACAGUUCAUGACACAAAGUCACUGUUAAGAAUGCUGGCAUAAAGAUACAUGCACACGUAUGUUCAUCACAGCACUAUUCACAAUAGCAAAGAUACAGAGUCAGCCUAAAUCCCCAAUGGUAGAAUGCGUAAAGAAAAUUUGAUACCCAUACACUGUGAAAUACUAUGUAACCACAAAAAGGCCGAGAUCAUGCGCUUUGCAGCAACAUGGGUGAAGCUGGAGGCCAUUUUCCUUAGCAAACUCACACAGGAAUGGAAACUCAAAUACUGCAUGUUCUCACUGACAUGUGGGAGCUGAAUGAUAAGAACACAUGGCCACAAAGAGGGGAACGACAAACACUGGGGCCUACUUGAGGAUGGAAGGCAGGAGGAGGGAGACAUUCAGGAGGAAUACCUAUCAAAUAGUAUGUUUAGUACCUGGGUGAUGAAGUAAUCUGUACAACAAACCCCCAUGACAUGAGUUUACCUGUAUAACAAACAUGCAUAUGUACCCCUGAACCUAAAAUAAAAGAAAAACAAGAAUGCUGAAAUUCUUAAGCAUUCAGUCACUGUUGGCUCCAACAAUGCGAACAUUGAUUGUUAUUGAUAUCCGUGCCCUCUCGGGAUGUGAUGAUGCCACAUCUCUUUCUACUUUUUACCUUCAGAUGUUGCCACUGGGGCCUGUGCCAUGCAUC